rnacentral:misc_RNA from 1 species
UGGAAACUAAAUUGAAAAUGAAUACAACAGCAAAUAAAACUAAAAAAUGGACAAUACAAACAUCAAAUACAUAUGAUAUAUGGCAAUUGACAUUUAUGAUAAAUAUACAGAGCUGACAACUUACAAAAAUACAUGAAAGUCACAGAGUAGUAUUACAAGGUAUAAUAGUUAGUGUUCAAAAUACUUGGCAUUGAUCCCUUUCCCUAUCUUUGGGCAACCAUGAUCUACGGCGUUGCUAUUAUGAUCUUCUCGAGACCUUCCAUGAGAGUAAUCUUCCCGUUAAACAGGAUUGCAUUUGGCAUGCUGGGGUCGCUGAUGUUCAACCAUGCAAGUAUGGUGUGUUUCAAAUACUUAUGUACAGUUUUUCCCGACAGACCUUUUAUGCGAACCUUCAUGGGAUUUUUGAGCGGACGACUUAUGAUGGUCCAUCUGUUAGCGUUCCUUUACCAUAUAGAUACCAGAACUAACAUUCCCGAUUUGUACGUGACCAGAGAUGUUGCCUUUGAAGGAAUGUAUUCAGUUUACUGACAACAUUAUACUUUUUGGAUCUU